UGCCAGCCGCCGCGGUAAUACGGAGGGUGCAAGCGUUGUCCGGAAUCAUUGGGUGUAAAGGGUACGUAGGCGGGAGCCUAAGUCUGGGGUGAAAUCUUGCCGCUUAACGGUAAAAUGGCCCUGGAUACUGGGUUUCUUGAGUGCAGAAGAGGCAGGUGGAAUUCGUGGUGUAGCGGUGAAAUGCUUAGAUAUCACGAAGAACAUCAGUGGCGAAGGCGGCCUGCUGGUCUGCAACUGACGCUGAGGUACGAAAGCGUGGGGAGCGAACAGGAUUAGAUA
rnacentral:rRNA from 1 species